GGGGGGAAUUGGACAAUGGGGGAAACCCUGAUCCAGCGAACGCCGCGUGAGUGAAGAAGUAUUUCGGUAUGUAAAGCUCUAUCAGCCGGGAAGAAAGAAAUGACGGUACCUGGAGUAAGAAGCCCCGGCUAACUAC
rnacentral:rRNA from 1 species